UUGCCACGUGUCUUUCACUUUAUACGUGUCCUUCCCUUCCCUGCAUUCUUUUCCUUUUCACAUACACAUUGCAGAGAAUAAGAAUGAAAAGAGAGGAUCCGGGAGAAAGAGACGACCGCUUACCUGUUCCGUUAGUUGCAACGUGGUGUGCGUUGAUUACUUUCUGAGACUCACCAACAAAAAGAACUUCAGAAGACAACAAUUGCGAUGGUUUUCCCUAUUUAAUUGUUCGCUUUAUGAGGAGAUACGGCUACAGAUGAUAUGAUUUGGUGGAGAGAUGCAACAUAAUGCAACAAGAAAAAGAAAUUAGCUUGACGCCUUGACGGUCUGGGCAGAGUUGAGGUUUUUUGUUGUUGGCGCGUAUGGUCAUGUGAUUGACUUUGCUUUCACUUGGCAGCUGGUGAGUAUGCAACCAUGGCGGGUUAUUCUCUGUGUUUGAAAAUGAGAUGGUCAUGUGCAUUGGCGAAGCCACGCCCCCCCCCCCCCAAUUUUCCCGAUACCGGGGGGGCGGCAACGUAUAUAGCUAUACGAAAGUAUAACACUACGCAUCGAAAAGUUGGGGGGGGGGGGGGGGCGGGCGCCCCCUCGGAGAUACACUAUCCUGCGCCCCUGGUACUCAUGUGAAUGACUUUGCUUUCACAUGGCAACUGGUUAGUGUCAGAUCUAUUCACUUUAACUCAUAUGUGGCCAUAUGUUUGUAGGUUGUAAACAGUUCAUUGUCAUUGAUUGUCCUUGAUUUUUGUUGGAAGUGGCUAUGAUGAUGAGUUUAAAUUUGAGCAAAGAUGGGACUUUUGUUUGUCCUGGCAGGGCAACCGAGAUGGUCAUGAGAUUGACUUUGCUUUCCCGUGGCAACCAGUUUAUUCUCUUUCUUUGAUUGUUUACAUAUAUGAGCCUUAUUAUUCUUUCA